rnacentral:lncRNA from 1 species
GUUUUUUCUCUCUUUAUUUUGGUUUCCAUCUCCUCAACACCUGAACCAACAGUCACAUUGCAGGCCAAGCCAGAUGGGCAAGCAAUACAAGCUGUGAAUUUAUCCUUGACCCCAUAGGACAGUGACCACCGUCAUUUUUGUCUUCACCGUACAGUUAUGCACUGCCAGUAAGUGAAAAGGUCAAGAAAAGCAGUAGCUCAGUGGCUGAAUUUUUCUGAAGUGCUUUACAGCAGGGAAAGUGGGGAAACCUCUUAAAGUGGUGUCUUACUCAAUCCUGGAGCACAGGAAAAGAGUUUUAAUGCAAAAUACCAGAAAAAAAAGUCUGCAACAUCUCCUGUGAGAGGGUGAAAAAAAGGAGAUUAACAAUUGCAUCUUUAAACACUCAUAAUUUGAGGUACAGUUUA